AGAAAGCUUGCUUUCUUUGCUGGCGACCGGCGCACGGGUGAGUAACACGUAUCCAACCUGCCCUUUACUCGGGGAUAGCCUUUCGAAAGAAAGAUUAAUACCCGAUAGCAUAAUGAUUCCGCAUGGUUUCAUUAUUAAAGGAUUCCGGUAAAGGAUGGGGAUGCGUUCCAUUAGGUUGUUGGUGAGGUAACGGCCCACCAAGCCUUCGAUGGAUAGGGGUUCUGAGAGGAAGGUCCCCCACAUUGGAACUGAGACACGGUCCAAACUCCUACGGGAGGCAGCAGUGAGGAAUAUUGGUCAAUGGGCGUUAGCCUGAACCAGCCAAGUAGCGUGAAGGAUGAAGGCUCUAUGGGUCGUAAACUUCUUUUAUAUAAGAAUAAAGUGCAGUAUGUAUACUGUUUUGUAUGUAUUAUAUGAAUAAGGAUCGGCUAACUCCGUGCCAGCAGCCGCGGUAAUACGGAGGAUCCGAGCGUUAUCCGGAUUUAUUGGGUUUAAAGGGAGCGUAGGUGGACUGGUAAGUCAGUUGUGAAAGUUUGCGGCUCAACCGUAAAAUUGCAGUUGAUACUGUCAGUCUUGAGUACAGUAGAGGUGGGCGGAAUUCGUGGUGUAGCGGUGAAAUGCUUAGAUAUCACGAAGAACUCC
rnacentral:rRNA from 1 species